CUACUACUCCCUCCAUUCAGAAUUACUCGUCCAAGAAAUGAAUGUAUCUACAUGUAUUUUAGUUGUAGAUACAUCCAUUUUUGUGACAAGUAAUUCCGAACGGAGGGAGUAGAUC
rnacentral:pre_miRNA from 1 species